GAUGAAGAACGUAGCGAAAUGCGAUACUUGGUGUGAAUUGCAGAAUCCCGUGAACCAUCGAGUCUUUGAACGCAAGUUGCGCCUCAAGCCAUUAGGUUGAGGGCACGUCUGCCUGGGCGUCACAUAUCGUUGCCUGAUGCCAGUUUCCUCGUGAUGGGUGACUGUGCAGGGCGAAUGAUGGCUUCCCGUGAGCAUUGUUGCCUCAUGGUUGGUUGAAAAUUGAGUCCUUGGUAGGGAGCGCCGUGAUAGAUGGUGGUUGAGUGACGAACGAGACCCAAUCAUGUGAGACCCCUACCGAAUUUUGCCUUCAUGACCCACAUGCGUCUUUGGAACGCUCAUGACGAGACCUCAGGUCAGGCGGGGCUACCCGCUGAGUUUAAGCAUAUCAAUAAGCGGAGGA
rnacentral:misc_RNA from 1 species